AAAAAGAGUGAACACUGAAUAAAAGUUCUGUAUGCAUCACUGAAAGUCUCCUUGGAAACAACUCCCAAGGUCACCUUCAAUAUUUUCAGAUGACCAUGGCGAACAGAUUUAUUUAUUCUUGUCGCUUUGGCCAGGCUUAUCUGUAACCAUCUGAUUUGGGGGAAAAAUAUAAAUCUAAUUCCCUUACCAAAUUAACAAAUGGCUAUCUUAUUUCCACAAAGGAGGCUAUGAGGUUAUCUGAACACUGCCGAUUAAAAGGUCAUAGGCAGUAGUAGAUAUUUCAUAGAUGGAAAUGAUUACAAACCUGAAAUAACCUUGAACACAGGAGAAAUUCUCUUUUAUAAGUGAAUAUUUUCUUCUAAGAUCUCCUCACUGGUUUCAUCAUUUCUCAACAGCUAAUUCUUUAGGUGUGUCUAGUAGGUACACACACACAUGCAUAUAUAUACACACACU
rnacentral:lncRNA from 1 species